GAUGAACGCUGGCGGCGUGCCUAAUACAUGCAAGUCGAGCGAACGGACGAGAAGCUUGCUUCUCUGAUGUUAGCGGCGGACGGGUAAGUAACACGUGGAUAACCUACCUAUAAGACUGGGAUAACUUCGGGAAACCGGGCUAAUACCGGAUAAUAUUUUGAACCGCAUGGUUCAAAAGUGAAAGACGGUCUUGCUGUCACUUAUAGAUGGAUCCGCGCUGCAUUAGCUAGUUGGUAAGGUAACGGCUUACCAAGGCAACGAUGCAUAGCCGACCUGAGAGGGUGAUCGGCCACCCUGGAACUGGGACACGGUCCAGACUCCUACGGGAGGCAGCAGUAGGGAAUCUGCCGCAAUGGGCGAAAGCCUGACGGAGCAACGCCGCGUGAGUGAUGAAGGUCUUCGGAUCGUAAAACUCUGUUAUUAGGGAAGAACAUAUGUGUAAGUAACUGUGCACAUCUUGACGGUACCUAAUCAGAAAGCCACGGCUAACUACGUG
rnacentral:rRNA from 1 species